AGUUGCAAGUGGACAUCAUGCUUCAAGAAAUUUAUUAAUUAUGGUGAACUUAGUGCCCAUAUAGUAUGUCACAUAGAGGGAACAAAUAGAUGCCAAUGGGAAGACUGCCGUGAAUGUUUUUCAGCUGUAAGAAGAUUUGAGCUGCAUCUUUUGAGACAUUUGUAUGAUAACAGCGAGAUAUUCAAAACAAUCGAUGAAUGGAAAAACACGCUACCUGAUGGGAAGAUCAAUGAACAGACAACAGAUCUGAAUAUGUGUCCGCUUCAUCUUAGGUCCAAACUGAUGCUGCUCUUAUUUGAUGAAGAUUUCUCCAUUCCAACGGGUUAUUUCACAAUAGAGGAACACUACAAAUACCUGGAAUUGCUAAGUAUACGUCUUCCUUCUGAUUAUGAAAAAAAUAAACUUCUUACUUAAAAGAAAAUAUUUAGGUGAAAACUGGGAAAAUGAUGAGGGAAAGUGUCCAACUGUACAGUUUAAUACUGCUGCUGACUAUAGUCCUACUCCUAAAGAUAUAUAUACUGUAGCUAGUUAUAAUGAAAAAAAUGUGUUUGUCUCUACAUCUAGACCAGAGUUGUGCAAUACAUACUUCUCAGGAACAACUUUAAACAAAGGAAUGCGGAAAAGAAGAAAAGAAGAAAAUCAAAUGAGAAUGUUCAAUUAAAUGUUGACAAUAAAUUGUGGUCAGAUAUAUUGAUUGAAAAUUUAACAAACUGUUCAAACGCUUUAAAAUUGCAAAAUCUUGUAUUACAAACUUUAGCAGAAAAGGGUUUUGUUACAUCAAAGAAGCAAUCUUUUUUAAAAUUAGAACAAGAAGCUAGUAGAUUAUCUGCACAUAACAACUGUACAACUGGAACCUUUGUAUGUUCAGUUUUUAAAAAUAAAAUUGAAGACAAUGAAUUUUAUUAUGUAAGGUAUGUGUUGAAUCUGGAGUUUACAGUGGAUUCAUGGAACAGAAGUACUUAUAUUUCCUUAAGGCGCAUUUUAAUGUUGCAGAUGAUAAUGUUUUGUUGCAUCAAGUUAUUACAUUGGAAGAUAUAAAUCAAAUGAAAAUCGAUGAAAAUAAACAUAAUAUAAAAAGGAA